UGGUCUGUGACCUUGUUGGGGGCGCCCGGGCCCCUGAGUUGGCGCUGGAGCUGGAACUGGCAGCUGUGCUGGACUGGCGUGAGGACGACCCCCGGGAGGUGCUGGCACUGGGGAUCAUGGGGAUGGUCUCCAUCAAGCGGUUACCCCCUGGGGCUCGGCUCUGCUGGGGAUCCUGCUUAGGCCGGAGACAUCUGCAGCAACAGGCUGCCACCAGGGACCCCAAGAUGAUAAAGGCGACAAACACGGAGCCAACAAUGAGGAACGGCACGUAGAUGGGCACUGA
rnacentral:lncRNA from 10 species